GUAUGAACGGCAAAACCUUUUCCAACUGUCUCCCCUCCCAUCCUUUUAAAUUUCCUCCUGUGUGAAGAAGCACAGAUAUAUCAGAAAGACGAGAAGACCCUGUCGAGCUUUAACCACUAAGUGGACCUUACCCUUUUCAGGCACCACCUAAAGGUUUUGGUUGGGGCAACCAUGGAGAAAAAAGAUCCUCCAGAACAAAUAGAAGAAAGCUUUUCACUAUUUUACGACUGAGAACCAGGAACUGGUAUUCGGAAAAAGUUACCGCAGGGAUAACAGCGUCAUCUCCUCUAAGAGUCCUUAUUGACGAGGAGGUUUGCGACCUCGAUGUUGGAUUGGGGCCCCCUUAGGGUGCAGAAGCUCUAAACGGUUAGACUGUUCGUCUAUUAAAGCCCUACAUGAUCUGA
rnacentral:rRNA from 1 species